UCUAUGAGAUUUAGAAGAUUUUAGGUCAGGGUCAUGCUGGUUAAGAGUAUUGACAAAAUUUAAUUGGAAAUUGGUUUUACUAUGCAAAAUUCAAGGUUGUGUUCAUGCUGACAUUGGCCCUUUCAGGUUUGUAUGUGUCGCAAGCUCUGGUACCAAUUGGUUGUUCAUUUUCCAUGUAUGUCUUUUGCCUAAGCAAUAGGAGAAAGGAAUCAAUAUCUUUUUUUAGCUUGGUUCUCAGUUACUCCUUAUUUGGGCCAAUAUGCUUUGUGUGGUUCCAACUAUUAGAUCGCAUCUUGGACAUACACAAAUAUUCAGUUAAGAUAUGUAUUUGUUUUUAUUAAAAAGCCAAGUAUUAGGUACCAAUGCAUAUGAUCUGUAACACAAUUUAUUUACUACAACAUUGGAAUAGUUAAAUGUUUGCAGAAGAAUAUCUUCUUACGGAAUAUUUUCUACUGAAGGUAAUCCACCUUUUCUAUUUCUUUCGAUCCUACGUAACCCUCUAUAGUUCGUCAGCCCAAAUCCCAUGAACUCGUCAUGUUGUCUUAAAAGAGAGCUUUUUUCUUAAUUAGUCAAUGGCAUCUUUGCACAUCUCCUUUGUUUGUAUCCAUAAUUUUUUUAAAUAUAAAGAUAUGGAAACAUAGAUGCAAUUUCAGUAUGCUCUGAGUUGACUAAAAAAAUACGAUUUAAACUGAACUAUGAUGUUUUUAAAUGUAGUGUAGAGUUUUGCAACGGAUGAUAAAGAAAUAUCUCUAGAAAUAUUUAAUUUUAAUAGCCCACUAGACUUCUUUUGUUUCAGAGUACAUGCUGUAUCAUGCUUGCUUCAUUCUUCGGCGCCAUUGAUCUCAUUUUGCUCGAAAUUCUGCAUACUAAAGAUGGUGUUGUAUUGCUUUGUACAGGUGAUCAGGAUAUUGUUGAAAGAUUUUCCACUGAGAGAGGAAGUUUCUUUAGAUGUCGAAGCAUGUCCGCUUAUGUUCAAAGGUUAAUUAUGGUGUGUGUGUUGCAAAGAUUAAUUAUCCAUCGGUUGUAGCUCCCCGUUUGGUAAGAGUCAUUUUGAGCUAAUUUCCUUGAUGACUAAAAUUCUAGAAGGUAUAUGGUGACUCUUUUUUUGACUAUUCAGCAAGUGGGUAGAUUGGAUUAGCUUCAUAUACUUCGGUGAAGUGCAGGUUCAGCUGUGGUUCUCAUCUAAAGAAGAGUGUCAUAGCUAUUAUCAAAUUUAGGUACCCUGAGAGCACUCUGGACGAGGAGGGGAGGAGCACUGCCUCCUCGCGCUGCUCGUCGACUCGUCCGCACUGGAUGCCCUUGUGCACUUGCUUGAGGUGCCUAUGACGCCAAGAUCGCCGCGCGGAAUCGAGCGAUGCGGGAUGACGCCACGACGGAGUGGUGGUCAGUUGUAGCAGUCAGGCUAGGACAGCGCAAGGAGGGGUGGCUGUCAGGCAGUUGCCGGGCAGAAUUGUGCGCGAACGAUGGGCGACUCCGCGACGGAGUGGUGGUCAGAUCCACACGUGAGGCGCAGGGACUGUCACUCC